rnacentral:rRNA from 1 species
AUUGAACGCUGGCGGCAUGCCUUACACAUGCAAGUCGAACGGCAGCACGGGGCAACCUGGUGGCGAGUGGCGAACGGGUGAGUAAUGCAUCGGAACGUGCCAUUGAGUGGGGGAUAACGUAGCGAAAGUUGCGCUAAUACCGCAUAUUCUGUGAGCAGGAAAGCAGGGGAUCGCAAGACCUUGCGCUGAUUGAGCGGCCGAUAUCAGAUUAGCUAGUUGGUGGGGUAAAGGCCUACCAAGGCGACGAUCUGUAGCGGGUCUGAGAGGGUGAUCCGCCACACUGGAACUGAGACACGGUCCAGACUCCUACGGGAGGCAGCAGUGGGGAAUUUUGGACAAUGGGGGGCAACCCUGAUCCAGCCAUGCCGCGUGAGUGAAGAAGGCC